GUCCCUGCCCCUCCGUUCUUUCCUAGCUCUUCAUGCCUGCCCUCGAACUUCUCAUGCUGCCGGAGAGAAGGCUGCGGGUCAGCAAUGAGAUCAGGACGGGCCGCCUCUACCCGGGCCCCGCCCCGGCCGCACCUUCAGGCUACAUCUGAGACCAUGCAGGAGCUGUGGACGUUAACGUUAAAAGGCACAGCUCAUUCAAGACUCGUGGGAGGUGGAGCAAGAUGGCCAAAUAGAACCGUCCAGUGAUCCACCUCCUCCUCUGGCAGGAACACCAAACUGAAAAAUUAUCCACACAAGAAAGCACCUUAUGAGAACCAAAGAAACAGGUAGCAGUCACAGUACCUGGUUUUAACAUCACAUCAAGAUAUAAGGUAAUGGCCUGGCGCAGUGGCUCACACCUGUAAUCCCAGUGCUUUGGGAUUACACUGGGCCGAGGCCGAGGCAGGCCGAUCACAUGAGGUCAGGAGUUCGAGGCCUAUCUGGCCAACAUAGUAUAACCCAGUCUCUACUAAAAAUACAAAUAUUAGCCGAGCGUGGUGUUGCACACCUGUAGUCCCAGCUACUUGGGAGGCUGAGGCAGGAGAAUUGCUUGAACCCAGGAGGCAGAGUUAGUGAGCAGAGAUCACACCACUGCUCCAGCCUGGGUGACAAAAGGAAAAAGGCAAUGAAGAAGAUAGGUAAGACAGUCUUUAAUUGCCACCAUAACCCUCCAUCAUCCUCCGGCAGCAGCUGGCUGCCUGGCACAGAUUGAAAAUCGGUGUGCUUAUGGGAAUUUACACUGGAACUGAGUGCUGCCCUGUCACAGUGGAAAGCAGCUCAGGGCAGAAUUCAGCUACUGCUCACAGGGGAAGCAUUUAGAGAAACCCUAGCCAGAGGGCAAUCAUCCAUCCCAGUGGUCAGGUUCUGGGGAGCCCUACCACCACUGGCUAAAGUGCUCCAGGGUCCUAAGUAAAUUUGAAAGGCAGUUUAGGCCACAAGGACUGCAAUUCCUGGGCAAGUCCUGGUGCUGUGCUGGGCUCAGAGCCAGUGGACUUGGGGUGCACACAGCCUAGUGAGAUAUCAGCUGAGGAGCCAAAGAAGUGCUUAUGACACCCGCCGCCCCCCCAACCCCAGGCAGCACAGCUCACAGCUCCAGGAGAGACCUGAAGGAAAGGAGAGGAGAAAGCAAAGAGGCCUUUGUCUUACAACUUGAAUACAAGCCCAGCAACAGUAGAAUAAAACACCAAGCAGAGUCCUAAAGGUUCCUUGCCAGGCUCUGUCUCCCACAUAUUUCUAGAGCUACUGUGGGCCACAAGGGAAACUGCUACUUUGAAGGAAAGGACCCAGUCCUGGCAGGAUUCAUCACCUGCUGACCAAAGAGCUGUUGGGCCUAGAAUAAACAUUAGUAAUAGCCACAGUACUGGGCGAGACUCCUGUUUAAGGAAAAGAGAGGAAAGAUUAGAAAGGACUUUGUCUUCCAACUUGGGUACCAGCUCAGCCACAGUAAAAUAAAGCACCAAGUAGAUUUCUCAAGUCCAGACUCCAUUUCUAAAUGGAGUCCUGGACAGCAUUUCUAAACCCACGCUGGGCCAGAAGGGAACCUUCCACCCCAAAGAGAAAAACAUGAGCCUAGCUGGAUUCACUACCUGCUGAUGAAAGAGCCUUUGGGCCUUGAAUAACAUCAGCAGAACCCAGGCAAUAGUCACCAUGGGCCUUGGGCAAGACCCACUGCUGUGCUGGCUUCAGGUGUGACAGCACAGUUCCAACGAUGGUGGCCAGAGGGGAGCCUGUGUCACUCCUCUCUCAGCUCCAGGCAGCUCGGCAUGGAGAGAGAGAGAUUCCAUUUAUUUGGGGAAAAGUAAGGGAAAAGAACAAGAGACUGUACCUAGUAAUCCAGGGAAUUCUCUUAGAUCUUAACCAAGACCAUCAAGGCAGUACCUCUGAGUCUGCAAGAGUCACAGCAUCACCAGGCUUGAGGUACCCCUGAUGCAAUUACAGCUGCAGUGACCAAAGAUUUAGAUCACAACACUCACUUCCCUUUGAAUACUUAGAAAAACCUUCUGAAGAAGGAUGAGUACAAAUAAGCCCAAACUGUGAAACUUACAAUAAAUACCUAAUUAUUCAAUGCUCUGCAUUGACAAACACCCACAAGCAUCAAGACCAUCCAAGAAAACAUGAGCUAACCAAAUGAACUAAAUAAGGUACCAGUGACCAAUCCCAGAGUGACAGAGAUAUGUGACCUUUCAGACAGAGAAUUCACUGUCACUGAGGAAGCUCAGUGAAGUGCAAGAUAACACAGAGAAGGAAUUCAGAAUCCUGCCAGAUAAAUUUAACAAAGAAGUGGAAACAGUUUUAAAAAUCAAAUAGAAAUUCUGGAGCUGAUAAAUUCAAUGGAUAUACCAAAGAAUGCACCAGGGUCUCUCAACAUGAGACUUGAUCAAGCAGGCUGGGCGUGGUGGCUCACGCCUGGAAUCCCAGCACUUUGGGAGGCUGAGGUGGGUGGAUCACAAGGUCAGGAGUUCCGAGAUCAGCCUGACCAACAUGGUUGAAACCCAGUCUUUACUAAAAAUACAAAAAUUAGCUGGAUGUGGUGGCAUGCACCGGUAGUCCCAGCUACUCGGGAGGCUGAGGCAGGAGAAUCGCUUGAACCUGGGAGGCAGAGGGAGUGAGCUGAGAUUGUGCCACUGUACUCCAGCAGCCUGGGCAACAGAGUGAGACUCCAUCUAAGGAAAAAAAAAAGAAUUGAUCAAGCAGAAGAAAGAAUUGGUGAGCUUGAAGACAGGCUAUUUGAAAAUACACAGAAGAAAUCAAAGAAAAAAUAAUAAAAAGGGAUGAAGCAUGCCUAUAAUAUUUAGACAAUGGCCACAAAAGGGCAAAUCAAUGGUUUAUUGGCCUUAAAGAGAAGGUAGAGAAAAAUUAGGAUAGAAAGUUUAUUAAAAGGAAUAAUAACAGAACUUCCCAAACCUAGAGAAAGAUAUCAGUAUUCAAGUAUAAGAAAGUUAUAGAACACCAAGGAGAUUUAACCCAAAUAAGACUACCUCAUGUCAUUUAAUAAUCAAACUCCCAAAAGUCAAAGAUAAAGAAGGAUCCUAAAAGCAGCAAGAGAAAAUAAAUAACACACAAAGAAGCUCCAGUACAUCUGGCAGCAGGCUUCUCAGUGGAAACCUUACAGGCAGGGGAGAGUGGCACAACAUUUAAAGUGCUGAAGGAAAAAAAAAAAUUUAUCUUAGAAUAGUAUAGCCAGCAAAAAUAUCCUUUAAACAUGAAGGAAAAAUGAAGACUUCCUAGGCAAACAAAAGCUGAGGGAUUUUGUCAACACCAGACCUGUCCUUUAAGAAAUGCUAACGGGAGUUCUUCAUUCUGAAAGAAAAGGACAUUAACAAGCAAUGAGAAAUCUUCUGAAGGCACAAAACUCAUCGGGAAUAGUAACUACAUAAGACAAAUGCAAUAUAUUUUGACACUGUAAUUGUGUAUAAACUACUACUAUCUUGAGUAGCAAGACUAAAAGAUGAACCUAUCAAAAAUAAUAACUCAAAAACACAGACAGUGUAAGAUAUAAAUAGGGCCCAGGUACGGUGGCUUAUGCCCAUAAUCCCAGCAUUUUGGGAGGCUGAAGCAGGUGGAUUGCUUGAGCUCAGGAAUUCAAGCCCAUCUGGGGUAACACGGUGAAACCCCAUCUCUACUAAAAAUAGAAAAAAUUAGUCAGGUGUGGUGGCAUGUGCCUAUUGUCCCAGCUUCUCGGGAGCCUGAGGUGGGAGGAUUGCUUGAGCCUGGGAGGUGGAGGUUGCAGUCAGCCAAGAUCGCACCACUGAACUCCAGCCUGGCUGACAGAAUGAGACCCUGUCUAAAAAAAAAAAAAAAAGAAAAAAAUACACACACACAUACAUAUAUGCCAGGCACAGUGACUCACACCUGUAAUUCCAGCACUUUGGGAGGCUGAGGUAGGAGGAUGGCUUCAGUGCAGGAGUUUGAGACCAGCCAGACCCUGUCUCUACAAAAAAUGAAAAAAUUAGCCAGUCAUGAUGGCACAUUUCUGUGGUCCCAGCUACUGGGAAAGCUAAGGCAGGAGCACUGUUUGAGACUAGGAGGUCAAGACUACAGUGAGCUGUGACUGCACCACUGCACUCCAACUUGGUCACAGACUCAAGAUCCUGUCUCCAAAAAAACUAAAAAUUAAGAAUUAAUAAGCAUGGAGGAUGAAGUUAAAAUGUUGAGUUUUUAUUAGUUUUCUUUUAGUUUUUGUAAUCAGUUGUUGUCAUCAGUCUAAAAUGAUGGGUUAUUUGCAAGCCUUAUGGCAACUUCAAUUUAAAAUACAAAAUAGCAAAUGCAAAGGCAUAAACAAGAUUUUUGUAUAUCAAUUAUGGAUAGGUUUCAGAAGUAUAAUCUUGAAUGAAGAAAAGUUGCAGAAUAGUGCAGUAUAACACUUAAAGAUAUAAAGGCAAUACCAUAUAUUGUUCAGGACUAGUAUCUGUACAACCUUUAAGCAAUGGGUUGAAGGGAUACCUGCUAAAUUCAUCAUUGUAGUUACUUCAUCAUUGCAGUAGGAAGAGGAACUUGACUGGGAACCAAGAAGACUUAAUUGUAUCGGUAAUAUUUUGUCUCUUUCAGUUAAAAAAAGGUUUAAAGCCUUGAAGGACAAAUAUUAACUGAAUUCAGUUAAUAUUUGGUUAAGGUGAUAUAAGAAUUUUUUUUUUUUUCCUUGAGAUAGAGUUUUACUCAUCACCCAGGCUGGAGUGCAAUGGCGCAAUCUCGGCUCUCCGCAGCCUUCACCUCCUGGGUUCAAGUGAUUCUCCUGCCUCAGCCUCCCGAGUAGCUGGGAUUACAGGCAUGCACCACUACGCUUGGCUAAUUUUUGUGUUUUUAGUAGAGACGGGGCUUUACCAUGUUGGUCAGGCUGGUCUCAAACUCCUGACUUCAGGUGAUUCACAGGCCUCGGCCUCCCAAAGUGCUGGGAUUACAGGUGUGAGCCACUGCACCAGCCAAGAAUACUUUUGUACACUAAAAACUUUCUUUGCUUCAGAAAACAAAACAAAAAAAGACUCUUUUAUAACCUGAGGUCCUAUCAAUUCUUUAAAUGACUUUAGAAUGACUGACUUUUGGUGUCUACUACCAACUUGCCUCAUUGCCCCAAGGAGGUGCACUGGAGUCAGGAACCCUGAUCUCUCAUUGCAGGUCUUAACUUGCCCCUUAGUUUUUGAAGUAGAGUGUGGUGGAAAAAGCACUGGUCCAGGGGUCAGGACACUUGGGACCUUGUCUUAAGCUGGCCUGCUUUUAGGAGAGUGAGUUUAGGCUAAUCACUUCCCUGCAAAUGAGGCUUUGUAGGCCUAGUUCCUUUCAGCAGGUGCAAUCUUUCCUACCAGUACUUUUCCUAAAGAAGCCACGUAAUUUACCAGAAAGGAAAAGUUGUCCACAGGUCUACCUGCUGAACAAAUUUCCACACUGCCUGGGCAACUUACAGUCCUGAAUGGCUGUUGGUAUUGUGAUUUUAAAAUGGAUUAAUGUAAAACUUUUCUGAGACCAGGCAUUUUAUCUUGUGUCACGUAUGAAAACAAAGUAUUUUCCCCCACACUGAAAUACCUACUAAUAUAGAUGUAUCUAUAAAAGGUUAUUUUAAAAACUCCAACCACCAUACUAUUUCAUACCUAAAUCAAACCAGUGUUAAAUUUCCUUAAUGGUAUUAAUUUUACUUUUUUUUCUUUCUGAGAUGGAGUCUCACUGUCGCCCAGGCUGGAGUGCAGUGGUGCAAUCUGGGCUCACUGCAGCUUCUGCCUCUCAGGUUCAAAUGAUUCUCCUGCCUCACCUCUCUGAGUAGCUGGGACUACAGGCGCACGCCACCACGCCUAGCUAAUUUUUGUAUUUUUAGUAGAGAUGUGGUUUCACCAUGUUAGCCAGGCAAGUCUCAAACUCCUGACCUCAGGUGAUCCACCCACCUUGGCCUCCCAAGGUGCUGGGAUUACAGGUGUGAGCCACCACAUCUGGCCUAAUUUUACAUUUUUUUUGAAUCAUUAUCCAAAUAGGGUCCAAAUAUUGUGUUAUGUGUCUCUUAAGUCUCCUUUUUAAGUUCCCACUCCAUUUCUGUUUCCCUUGUAAUUUACUGAAGAAACUAGGUCAUUUGUCUUGGAAUUUCCUCUCAAUAUGGCUGACUGAAAUCCUACUGUAUUUUUAAAACAUGUUUCUAUAUUCUCUUAUUUCCUUUAAAAUGAUAGUUAUAUGUAGAGAGUUGAUUAGACUUUAUGUUUGGGCACUACCUCACAUAGGACGUUAGUGUUUUACAAAGUAAUUAAGAAGACUUCACAUGUUCAGGUCUUUAUAAAGUAAUAAAAAUUGGAUUUUAUCACAUUUAUUAAAGACAGUCAUUUAUAGUUUAUAAAAAAAAAUACCACCCUGAUAUACAAAAAAUUUUCUUGAAAACGCUAAUUAAAAACUACUCCCACCCGCCCAUGUCCACACCAAUAUUCAAUCUAGAUUGGUUUGAUCUUGAAGUGUAAUCCAAUAAGACUGAAGACCAAACACUUCAGGUCCUGGACAAGAUAAUAAAAUACUCGUAAGCCUUCUGGAUCCCUAAAAUGCAAAAGGAAAAAAAAAGUUUAAAACACUGAGGUAAAAUGGGCAAAAGAUACCAUUUAAUAAUCUCAAUUAUUCCUCUAUCAAAAUGUUCCUUGUAAAGAUAUUUAGGGCAUUAAAACUUUGACCAAAAAAGGAAAAGACUAUAUAUUAAAAUGGCAUAUUAUGAAAUAAUUUAAAUAUACUGAGUUUUUAAAAUAGGAAAAUGCUUACAUUAAGUGAAAAAAAUUAACAUUGAUCUCGACUAUAUUUUUUAUGCUUCUUAAAAAGUAUAUAUUCUAUUAAUGCACAGAAAAAAAGACUAAAAAGAAAUACUGCAAGAUAUUAAUAAAGGUUGUCUGAUAAGAUAAUGGAUGGUUUUCACCCUUCUACUUUUCUACAUUUCCUGUGUUUUCUACAAUGAGCAUGUAUUACUUCCAGAGUUAGGAAAACUUUUUUAAAAAGUAGUAAUACUAAGCAGGACCAAGAGGUUGAAGAUUACUGUGGCAUCACUAGCUAAGAACAAAGAGUAUCCAAAGGGAAGAACAAGGAGAGUGUGCAAAGGAAGACAAUUAUGCCCAACAUUUGCUAAAAGUGAGCCAUAUCUAAUCCUGAAUCCCCAAAACAUAAGAGCCAAAGAAGUUGCCAAAUUCUAAAGAUUCUUCGUAGCACAUAGGUUCAUGCCUCAACUUAAUAAUCUGCCCCACUGACAACACAAAUUUUAAAAUUUGAUCCAUUUUCACCAAAAUUAUUUGUAAAAAUUAAUAAAUUUAAAAUCAAAUAAAAUUUAGAUCCUAAAAAUUGUCAAGUUUCAUCAAAGUCAGAUUUUAAGAUGUGCCAGUCUGAACAGUCACACUGUGAAGGCUAUUCAGACUUGGUGACUCUGGUUUAUCAUGAGCACUUUUCUAGCAUAUUCCAUUUUUGUCCUGGCUGCUCCUGUGCAUUAAUUUGUAUGUAUGCGUCAACAAGAAGCUCUCAAUAGCAAUGACUAAAUGAAAUACCAAAAGUAAUAGGAGCAAGUCUUCAAAAAUAAUUUGAGAUCCCUCCCUAACAAGGAGGACAAAGCUGCCCACCUGUACCAGAUCUUCCCAUAGUGAUCCCAAUUUGGUUAAGAGUUUCUUAUCAAUCUGCUCCAAAACAGACACAAUUGGAGAUAAGGAUAAUGCACUUACUUGGAUUGAUUGACAUCAAUAAGGGAACCAAUUUUUGAUGUUGUAAAAGAAAUGUGUUCAUCUCCAAUAACGAUUUCAAGCUCCUGGAAGCAUUUUAGAAAAUCUAAGUCAAGUAAAAUUGGAUUAUUCAUCAAGCACACAGAAGGAUUAAUCAUUUGCCAAAUCACACAAACUUGACUACAGAUGGCCAUAAAAACAAGGGCGGUUCACUCUGAACACUGAACUGUGCUGGGGACUAGAAACAAGACAUAAAUAAAGCUCAUAUUUAGAAGAAAUUGUACCCUCAAGGCUCUACUAUUUCUGGAAUUUGAAAAAAAAAUCUAUGAAGCUUUUUUUUUUCUUCCCCCCCCCGAGGCGGAGUCUCAUUCUCUCGCCCAGGCUGAAGUGCAGUGGUAUGAUCUUGGGUCACUGCAACCUCUGCUUCCAGGGUUCAAGUGAUUCUCCUGCCUCAGCCUCCCAAGUGGCUGGGACUACAGGUGCCCACCACCACCCUGUCUCUAUUAAAAAUUUUUUGUAUUUUUAAUAGAGACAGGGUUUCGCCAUAUUGGCCAGGCCGGUCUUGAACUCCUGACCUCAGGUGAUCUGCCUGCCUCAGCCUCCCAACUGCUGGGAUUACAGGCAUGAGACACUAUGCCCAGCCUAUGUAGUAUUUUGUCUAAGUUUUCAUUGUCAACAAUGUGGAGUAAAAUGGAUACAUCUAUGUUUUAAAAAUACCAAACAAUUGGACUGGGUGUGGUGGCUCACACCUGUAAUCCCAGCAGUUUAGGAGGCCAAUGCAGAAGAAUCACUUGCGCCCAGGAGUUUAAGACCAGUAUGGGCAACUUGGCAAAACCUCAUCUUUACAAAAAAUAUAGAAAUUAGCUGGGUGUGGUGGCAUGCACCCAUGGUCCCUGCUACUAGAGAGGCUGAGGUGGAAGGAUCCUUCAGCCCAGGAGGUCAAGGCAGCAGUCAGCCGUGAUCUCAUCACUGUACCCCAGCCUGGGCAACAGAGUGUGACCCUGUCUCCAACAACAACAAACAAAAACAAGUACCAGAGGAUCUAACCUAUCAAGGCAACAUGGGAAAAGGAAGUAUUCCAGACCUUAGGUUUGAUCCCCACUUCGUCACUCCAUAUCUGUAUGACUUUGGGUCUUAAUUUCUAAACAGUGACAUGAGUACUGUAAACCUUCAAAAAAUACUAUGUAGAGCCUACUGGGUGCUAGGUGUUGUUCUCAGAGCUUAGGACAGAUAAGUAAAACCAACCAAACCAAAGAUCUCUGCCCUGUGGAACUUACAGUCUUGUGAGCCCUACUUACUUUUUCUUCUUUUAGAUUCAUAUAUAUUUUUGUUAUAAUUCAAUCAGAAAAUAGAAAAAACCUGAGAUCAAUGUUUCCAAUAUCCAUAUUUAUAAAUUACUGCCAUACAUGUGUCAGCUUUUUUUUUUUAAAGAAAUAAAAUAUUACAAAGUUGAUAUCCAUCUCCCAUUGUGUUCUUCCUGUAUCCCCUGAUUUGUUCCACUCAUUUCAGAUUUGGUAGUAUGUUUUUACUGAUUUGUUUUUACAUACAGGGUCUCACUCUUUCACCAAAGCUGAAGUGCAGUGGUAGGAUCAUAGCUCACCGUAACUCUGAGGCUCAAGCUAUCCUGUAGCCUUAGCCUCCCGAAUGGCUGGGACUACAGGUACACGCCACCACACCUGUUAAUUUUUAGGGUUUUGGUAGAAAAAAGAUCUCACUGUGCUGCUCUAUUUCUGUUUGUAUCUCCACUAUGAUUUGUCCAUAGUAGUUAGUGAGACAGGCAGCAAAAGCUUCAAGUGGAGGAGUGGGUGUGGGGGGGUCCUAAGAAGAAAUUCAAGGUGGGUUCUUGGUGGCCAGCAGCACCACUUGUUCUCUCUGUUCCUCCCUAUGGGAUUAGUGCUUCCUUAGACCAUGGUGCUGGCAAUCUGCUUUCUGCAGAGCUGACCACCACCACACACCCACACACCCACACCCACACACACACAGUUUCACUAUCAUAUGCAGAGCACUAAACAUCUUAUUUGUAAGAUUUCUGCACUACAGGAUAAUAAAACACACGCACACACACACACACAAAAUUUCACUAUCAUAUGCAGAGCAAUAAACCUCAUCUUAUUUGUAAGAUUUCUGCACUACAGGAUAAUCAAUAAAACAUACCUGCCGGCCCACUCGGUCAGGAGGAGGCCACAACGCAUCAUCCUCUUUGGUAAUUUCACUGUCAUCAAUUAUUCUCUUCAGUUCCUCCAUCACACUUUUAUGUACAUAAGCCUGAAAGUAAGUUAAAAAACAAAAUAUAUGUUGUAUCCUUAAGCAGUGCUUUGAAUCAGAUAGUGAUGGAAGAUAAAAAUAACUGUUCCUGCAGACUUAUUUCUGGCAUCUCCUGAAGUUGGAAGACAUUCACUCUCAACCUCAGCAUGGUGCAGGUGAAGAAACAAGGACUUAUCAAGUUCAGCUAGCAACUUGCCCGAGGUCACAUGGGGUAGUAGGCAGCAUACUCAGGGUUCAAACCAAGUACUACCAGAAAGAACAAAAAAAUGCAAGACAAAAAGCUGAAAUGUAGCAAAUGAAGGACUCUCAGAAGGCAGAAGACUCAUACCUCUUUUCUGAUCAUGACAUCAUUCUUGUAAUUGCUGUUGUUGGCGUAUCUUAAUUUCCCUGUGGGGGCAAAAAACAAAUUCCAUGUAUAAUAAAAACAUAUGAAUAAAAGCAUCAAUACAUACCAAGA